GGCAACUUGGCCGAGCGGUCUAAGGCGCCAGACUCAAGAUACCGGUUCGUUCAAGGACUUGCGUCUUCCCUGCACACCAGGGAGCAUUCUGGUCUCGAAAGAGGCGUGAGUUCGAAUCUCACAGUUGUCA
rnacentral:tRNA from 1 species